rnacentral:rRNA from 1 species
CCUACGGGUGGCAGCAGUGGGGAAUAUUGCACAACGGGCGCAAGCCCGAUGCAGCCAUGCCGCGUGUGUGAAGAAGGCCUUCGGGUUGUAAAGCACUUUCAGCGGGGAGGAAGGCGUUAAGGUUAAUAACCUUGGCGAUUGACGUUACCCGCAGAAGAAGCACCGGCUAACUCCGUGCCAGCAGCCGCGGUAAUACGGAGGGUGCAAGCGUUAAUCGGAAUUACUGGGCGUAAAGCGCACGCAGGCGGUCUGUCAAGUCGGAUGUGAAAUCCCCGGGCUCAACCUGGGAACUGCAUUCGAAACUGGCAGGCUAGAGUCUUGUAGAGGGGGGUAGAAUUCCAGGUGUAGCGGUGAAAUGCGUAGAGAUCUGGAGGAAUACCGGUGGCGAAGGCGGCCCCCUGGACAAAGACUGACGCUCAGGUGCGAAAGCGUGGGGAGCAAACAGGAUUAGAUACCCUUGUAGUC